rnacentral:rRNA from 1 species
UGCCUACGGGGGGCAGCAGUGAGGAAUAUUGGUCAAUGGCCGAGAGGCUGAACCAGCCAAGUCGCGUGAGGGAAGACGGCCCUACGGGUUGUAAACCUCUUUUGUCGGGGAGCAAAGCGAACCACGUGUGGUUCAUUGAGAGUACCCGAAGAAAAAGCAUCGGCUAACUCCGUGCCAGCAGCCGCGGUAAUACGUAGGGUGCGAGCGUUAAUCGGAAUUACUGGGCGUAAAGGGUGUGCAGGCGGCUGAGUAAGACAGAUGUGAAAUCCCCGGGCUUAACCUGGGAACCGCAUAUGUGACUGCUU